CAGGUCCACAAGAAAGGUGGAACAAUACAAAGAUUGUAGCGACUGAUGAUGUGGGGAAGAUACAGAUGUGGAAUGGCAUUAUAGGGGCACAGGUGACAUAACUGAGGAUAACACUGCACAGCAAUGGGUGGCUUAACUGCAUUGGGUGAGGCGACCGAUGUGUGGUUAGGGAAAUAAGUCACUUCCCUCCUUCAAAUAAAGGAUCCUGGGGUUGAAGCCCGAGGGAGGCCACAGAAACCGUAAGUAGCCAGUUUAAACAAACGAGCAGCGUGAUGGGGGACACAGGACAUGGCCAUUUACCACCAACAAAAACACAAAUCCUUGCACAGGGCAUCUUGAAGACUUCUCCUUGCCAAGAUUCAUCUCCACGGAACCUGCCAGAGCAGCCAUACAGACAUUUUAGGCUCUUUUCUCCAGCACAAUGCCCCCUCUUUACAAACUCCCCAUGUGUAUUAACCUAAUAAAUAGUGCC